rnacentral:rRNA from 1 species
CAAGAGCGUAUGUAAAAGUUGUUGCAGUUAAAAAGCUCGUAGUUGAACCUUGGGUUUGGUUGGCCGGUCCGCUUUUUUGCGAGUACUGGAUUCAACCGAGCCUUUCCUUCUGGCUAACCAGUCGUUUCGGCGGCUGGCGAACCAGGAUUUUUACUUUGAGAAAAUUAGAGUGUUCAAAGCAGGCAUUAGCUUGGAUAUAUUAGCAUGGAAUAAUAGAAUAGGACGUUAUGGUUCUAUUUUGUUGGUUUCUAGGACCAUCGUAAUGAUUAAUAGGGACGGUCGGGGGCAUCAGUAUUCAGUUGUCAGAGGUGAAAUUCUUGGAUUUACUGAAGACUAACUACUGCGAAAGCACUUGCCAAGGACGUUUUCAUUAA